UUGGGGGCAAAGAUUUUAGAGAAGUUUGUUGUUACAUAUUAAACUUGCCUUUAGGAAGAUGUCAAACUUUGUCGGUGUUAUUCCCAGGUUGAACAUCGCAGCCUCAAAACCAGAUGUGGAUUUUAAUUGUCUACAGUGUUGCGGGCAAUGGAGGAGAAGACCCGAGUGACGACGAAUGCAAUAGUACUCCAACUAUAAGCUGCUCCAAUGGAAAUGCUGUUGCCGCAACCAUUCGUGAAAUCCGUAGAUAGCAGAUCCGAACAGGAACCAAGGAAAAAAAAUCAAACUAAUGAAUCUCAUAUAAUUUUUCAAUCCCUUCAAUAUUCAUAUAAGAUCAGAGAUUUUGUGUUGAUGGAGUUAACUACUGCUAUAGUAGAGUUAGUUUAAAAAAGAAUAAAAGAAAAAUUAGGAUAAUCAGGAGUGUAUUCGGGUUCAUCGGUUCUCUGAGUUUAGGAGAAUAUCAGUUUUAUCAAAUGUACAACAACAUUUGUACUGCAAAUCUUACUCAUGGAUACAUAUUAUAAUGAUUUCCCUUUUCAAA